UACGGGGGGGGCAAGCGUUGUUCGGAAUUACUGGGCGUAAAGGGCUCGUAGGCGGCCAACUAAGUCAGACGUGAAAUCCCUCGGCUUAACCGGGGAACUGCGUCUGAUACUGGAUGGCUAGAGGUUGGGAGAGGGAUGCGGAAUUCCAGGUGUAGCGGUGAAAUGCGUAGAUAUCUGGAGGAACACCGGUGGCGAAGGCGGCAUCCUGGACCAAUUCUGACGCUGAGGAGCGAAAGCCAGGGGAGCAGACGGG
rnacentral:rRNA from 1 species